UUGAGUAUUGCUGCAUUUCGGUUUGCUGUCAGUGCAGAAGCGUGGACAUGUUUCAGUAAAAUAACUUGGUGUUGUGUUAUAUUUAAACGAUUAUUGUUGUUGUUCGUGUUACUGUUGUUACUUGCAGCUAAUUUCUGCAAUCAGUUCGGUUCGCCUGAGCGAUAAAGCUAGUUGUUUCUACAGGUAGGCCGAAAUCACGUGACCACUGGACAUGACGUAGCUAGUGCGUGGAGUGAUAGCUCGUGUUUAUUGUUUUCGGAACGUUAUUUGUGUCUAAUCAUUUUACUGUUUCCGAGAGAAUAAGGUUUAGAUUUUUUGAUUCCCAGUAUUGUUUUAGAUACUGAAUUCGCUGGACAUUUAUUGAGAACACAAACAUUCCUGCAUUGUAUCAGAUAACGUCGCAUCUUGUCCCUUGACGGUGGUAGCGUCGGUUAUGUACCCUCACGCUGUCACGACCUGUGGUUCUCAGGACCCUCGUAUACAACAAAACACAGAGAAAUUCAGACUCCAUUCUUCGAGUGGGAUUUGAACCUACGAUCCGGCCAAAAACCAACGCCUUCGCCUACGCAGCUAAGGAAACAAUCUAGUGGACGUCCAUAGCAGCGCCAAACAUCCAGAACGGCCUAAAAGCUUCUACAUUCGACUUUGAAAGAUGCAGUCGGCGUCUUCAGAGUCUCGGUAUUGCCUGAGGAUACCACGAGGAAUCAUUUGUUUCAAUUUUGAACUGAUUCAUCCAGACCCACUGUUCGCUGCUCUCGUGUCAACUGUUCACAAAGAAUCGUAACGAAUUUCCACCACCUGUUGAUUUGAAAAGAAACAGGAUACAGGCGUGCGGUCUCCAUGGAGACUACCGUUCACGAACGCGUGGUCUGGUCAUUAUUAAGGUACGCAGGUUGUAAUUAUUUUUCACUUGUGGGCCAAAAGGCGUGUGUCAUGGUGACAAUAGAUGUGAUGGA